AUGAACGCUAGCUACAGGCUUAACACAUGCAAGUCGAGGGGCAGCAUCAUCAAAGCUUGCUUUGAUGGAUGGCGACCGGCGCACGGGUGAGUAACACGUAUCCAACCUGCCGACAACACUGGGAUAGCCUUUCGAAAGAAAGAUUAAUACCGGAUGGCAUAAUUAUUCCGCAUGGGAUAAUUAUUAAAGAAUUUCGGUUGUCGAUGGGGAUGCGUUCCAUUAGGCAGUUGGCGGGGUAACGGCCCACCAAACCUACGAUGGAUAGGGGUUCUGAGAGGAAGGUCCCCCACAUUGGAACUGAGACACGGUCCAAACUCCUACGGGAGGCAGCAGUGAGGAAUAUUGGUCAAUGGACGAGAGUCUGAACCAGCCAAGUAGCGUGAAGGAUGACUGCCCUAUGGGUUGUAAACUUCUUUUAUACGGGAAUAAAGUGAGCCACGUGUGGCUUUUUGUAUGUACCGUAUGAAUAAGGAUCGGCUAACUCCGUGCCAGCAGCCGCGGUAAUACGGAGGAUUCGAGCGUUAUCCGGAUUUAUUGGGUUUAAAGGGAGCGUAGGCGGGUUGUUAAGUCAGUUGUGAAAGUUUGCGGCUCAACCGUAAAAUUGCAGUUGAUACUGGCGACCUUGAGUGCAACAGAGGUAGGCGGAAUUCGUGGUGUAGCGGUGAAAUGCUUAGAUAUCACGAAGAACUCCGAUUGCGAAGGCAGCUUACUGGAUUGUAACUGACGCUGAUGCUCGAAAGUGUGGGUAUCAAACAGGAUUAGAUACCCUGGUAGUCCACACAGUAAACGAUGAAUACUCGCUGUUGGCGAUAUACGGUCAGCGGCCAAGCGAAAGCAUUAAGUAUUCCACCUGGGGAGUACGCCGGCAACGGUGAAACUCAAAGGAAUUGACGGGGGCCCGCACAAGCGGAGGAACAUGUGGUUUAAUUCGAUGAUACGCGAGGAACCUUACCCGGGCUUAAAUUGCAACUGACGGAACCGGAAACGGUUCUUUCUUCGGACAGUUGUGAAGGUGCUGCAUGGUUGUCGUCAGCUCGUGCCGUGAGGUGUCGGCUUAAGUGCCAUAACGAGCGCAACCCUUACGGGUAGUUACCAUCAGGUUAUGCUGGGGACUCUACCCGGACUGCCGUCGUAAGAUGUGAGGAAGGUGGGGAUGACGUCAAAUCAGCACGGCCCUUACGUCCGGGGCUACACACGUGUUACAAUGGGGGGUACAGAAGGCAGCUACACGGCGACGUGGUGCUAAUCCCAAAAGCCUCUCUCAGUUCGGAUUGGAGUCUGCAACCCGACUCCAUGAAGCUGGAUUCGCUAGUAAUCGCGCAUCAGCCACGGCGCGGUGAAUACGUUCCCGGGCCUUGUACACACCGCCCGUCAAGCCAUGAAAGCCGGGGGUACCUGAAGUACGUGACCGCGAGGAGCGUCCUAGGGUAAAACUGGUGAUUGGGGCU
rnacentral:rRNA from 1 species